rfam:Ovis aries breed Texel chromosome 15, whole genome shotgun sequence.
UCCCUGAAGGCUCAGAGAUAAAGAAUCUGCCUGCAAUGCAGGAGACUCAGGUUCAAUCCCUGGGUCAGAGAG